rnacentral:rRNA from 1 species
AAUCUUCCACAAUGGGCGAAAGCCUGACGGAGCAACGCCGCGUGAGUGAAGAAGGUUUUCGGAUCGUAAAACUCUGUGGUACGGGAAGAACAAGUACAGUAGUAACUGGCUGUACCUCGACGGUACCUGAUUAGAAAGCCACGGCUAACUAUGUUCUAGCAGCCGCGGUAAUACGUAGGUGGCAAGCGUUGUUCGGAAUUAUUGGGCGUAAAGCGCGCGCAGGCGGUCCUUUAAGUCUGAUGUGAAAGCCCACGGCUCAACCGUGGAGGGUCAUUGGAAACUGGGGGACUUGAGUGCAGAAGAGGAAGGUGGAAUUCCAAGUGUAGCGGUGAAAUGCGUAGAGAUUUGGAGGAACACCAGUGGCGAAGGCGACUUUCUGGUCUGUAACUGACGCUGAGGCGCGAAAGCGUGGGGAGCAAACA